AGAGUUUGAUCCUGGCUCAGAAUCAACGCUGGCGGCGUGCCUAACACAUGCAAGUCGAACGCGAAAGGGGCUUCGGCCCUGAGUAGAGUGGCAGACGGGUGAGUAACACGUGGGUGACCUACCCUUGAGCGGGGGAUAACGUUUCGAAAGGAACGCUAAUACCGCAUGACAUCCUGCCUUUGAAGAGGCGGUGAUCAAAGCCGGGGACCGCAAGGCCUGGCACUCGAGGAGGGGCCCGCGCCCGAUUAGCUAGUUGGUGGGGUAACGGCUCACCAAGGCGACGAUAGGUAGCCGGCCUGAGAGGGCGGACGGCCACACUGGGACUGAGACGCGGCCCAGACUCCUACGGGAGGCAGCAGUGGGGAAUUGUUCGCAAUGGGCGCAAGCCUGACGACGCAACGCCGCGUGGAGGAUGAAGAUUUUCGGAUCGUAAACUCCUGUCGAACGGGACGAAUGGCUCGGCCGUGAAUAAUGGCCGGGAAUGACGGUACCGUGAGAGGAAGCCCCGGCUAACUCCGUGCCAGCAGCCGCGGUAAUACGGGGGGGGCAAGCGUUGUUCGGAAUUACUGGGCGUAAAGGGCUCGUAGGCGGCCAACUAAGUCUGACGUGAAAUCCCUCGGCUCAACCGGGGAACUGCGUCGGAUACUGGAUGGCUUGAAUCCGGGAGAGGGAUGUGGAAUUCCAGGUGUAGCGGUGAAAUGCGUAGAUAUCUGGAGGAACACCGGUGGCGAAGGCGGCAUCCUGGACCGGUAUUGACGCUGAGGAGCGAAAGCCAGGGGAGCAAACGGGAUUAGAUACCCCGGUAGUCCUGGCCCUAAACGAUGAGUGCUUGGUGUGGCGGGUAUCGAUCCCUGCCGUGCCGAAGCUAACGCAUUAAGCACUCCGCCUGGGGAGUACGGUCGCAAGGCUGAAACUCAAAGGAAUUGACGG
rnacentral:rRNA from 1 species